CCUGGUUGAUCCUGCCAGUAGUCAUAUGCUUGUCUCAAAGAUUAAGCCAUGCAUGUGUAAGCACACACUGUUUUAAAAGUGAAGCCGCGAAUGGCUCAUUACAACAGCCACAGUUUAUUAGAACUUACAAUCAUGGAUAACUGUGGUAAUUCUAGAGCUAAUACACGCACAAAAACUUCAACUGAAUUGGUUGAAGUGCUUUUAUUAGAACAAAAACCGAACGGCGUUUGGCGAAUGUUGAACGUCGAAACUGUUUGGUGAAUCUGAAUAACUAUUUCUGAUCGCAUGGUCUAGCACCGGCGACAUCACUUUCAAGUGUCUGCCUUAUCAACCUUCGAUGGUAGUCUAUGCGACUACCAUGGUGAUAACGGGUAACGGAGAAUCAGGGUUCGACUCCGGAGAGGGAGCCUGAGAAACGGCUACCACAUCCAAGGAAGGCAGCAGGCGCGCAAAUUACCCACUCCCAGCUUGGGGAGGUAGUGACGAAAAAUAACGAGACGAUUCUCGUUUGAGAAACGUUAUCGAAAUGAGUACGCUUUACACACGCUAACGAGUAGCAAUUGGAGGGCAAGUCUGGUGCCAGCAGCCGCGGUAAUUCCAGCUCCAAUAGCGUAUAUUAAAGUUGCUGCGGUUAAAACGCUCGUAGUUGAAUUGUGGUCUUAGACAACAGUCCCCCUACAUAGGUGUGGCACGGUUGCUCGAGAUCUUCAUUCGUGGUUGCUGUUGUUGCUCUUCAUUGAGUGUCAAUGGUGCCUCGAGAUUUUACUUUGAAAAAAUUAGAGUGCUCAAAGCAGGUUGUGAUGCCUGAAUAAUGGUGCAUGGAAUAAUAGAAUACGAUCUCGGUUCUAUUUUGUUGGUUUUCGAACCGGAGAUAAUGAUUGAAAGGAACAGACGGGGGCAUUCGUAUUGCUGCGUUAGAGGUGAAAUUCUUGGAUCGCAGCAAGAUGAACAAUUGCGAAAGCAUUUGCCAAGAAUGUUUUCAUUAAUCAAGAACGAAAGUUAGAGGUUCGAAGGCGAUCAGAUACCGCCCUAGUUCUAACGGUAAACUAUGCCAACCAGCGAUUCGCCGAAGUUCAUUUAAGACUCGGCGAGCAGCUUCCGGGAAACCAAAGUGUUUCGGUUCCGGGGGAAGUAUGGUUGCAAAGCUGAAACUUAAAGGAAUUGACGGAAGGGCACCACCAGGAGUGGAGCCUGCGGCUUAAUUUGACUCAACACGGGAAAACUCACCCGGCCCGGACACUGGAAGGAUUGACAGAUUGACAGCUCUUUCUUGAUUCAGUGGGUAGUGGUGCAUGGCCGUUCUUAGUUGGUGGAGCGAUUUGUCUGGUUAAUUCCGAUAACGAACGAGACUCUACCCUAUUAAAUAGUGACAGUAUUGUAUUUUUUGUGCUGAUCACGAGCAAUAACAGGUCUGUGAUGCCCUUCGAUGUCCGGGGCUGCACGCGCGCUACAAUGAAAGCGUCAACGUGAGUUACGUCCUUACCUGAAAAGGUUUGGCAAUCGAAUGAAACGUUUUCUUGAAUGGAAUAGGGAAUUGCAAUUGUUUCCCUUGAACGAGGAAUUCCCAGUAAGCGUGAGUCAUUAGCUCGCGUUGAUUACGUCCCUGCCCUUUGUACACACCGCCCGUCGCUACUACCGAUUGGAUGAUUUAGUGAGGUGUUUUGACUGGCGCCAGUAGUCGGAUGUAUUCGGCUUCGCGCCGGGAAAUUUCCCAAACCAAAUCAUCUAGAGGAAGUAAAAGUCGUAACAAGGUUUCCGUAGGUGAACCUGCGGAAG
rnacentral:rRNA from 1 species